UUUCAAUUUGUUUUUUGGAUAAUAGUUUGAAUAUUGAUUUCUAAGGUGAUGCUUGCAGUGAACAGUUUGGAAGACAGUUGAAUAGAUAAUAGCAUGCUAUCUACACAGAAAUCAGACAAUACCAUUAUUACCACAUUAUUUAUCAGUUGUGACAUUAUGGACAAGUGACUUUGCAAGACAUAUGGUAAUUUCAAGUAUUUUAAGAGGAUGCAGGAAUCCAACUAUCAGAUGUUCCUCAUAAAUAGUAUAUGGCACAAAGUACUUAAGGGGGUAACAGGAAGAGUAUGUGUAAGUACAAACAGUAUGCUACAAAAGUACUACAAAGAUCACAUAAUCCUGAGAAAUGUUGUUGGUAAAGCAAGGCAAGAUCUAUUACUCAAUAUUGGAACUAAAAGCGUUGCAUUACGUUUUUUUAUGCACAAAUUGCCCACUCUUCAACAACUCCCAAAAUCCUCCUCCCUCACAUAACUAACAUAAGUAUAUUAUUUACUUAAAAUAUUAAAGUUUCUACAAAAUGUACAUUCGGUUGCUGAAAUUCAUAGUUAAACCCAUAAAACUGUAUACAUCUCUGCUAACAGUGAUUGCAACGGUCAAAAACUAACAAAAUGGUUAUGACAAAUAUAGGAAACAUCGCAUCAAACAAAGGAUAAAGCCCUUGUCAGAUUUCCUUUGACUUUACAUUGAAAUGACAUUUCUAAGCCUGUUCUCAGUCAGGUGUAAGAACAAUUUGAUAGAAACUGCAUGAAAAAUAAUAGGAGGCAACUUAGGGCUUGCUAAGACACAAAAAUAAUACCAUUCUUGUCCCGCAUGCAAAAGCACAUUUAGGACAGUGGUGGAACAAACUCAAUGUCUCUGAUGACCACUGAAUGUAAAGGGAGAAACUAGUGUCUAGUUCAGAGUGAGUCAUCAAUUCUUCAGGUAAACAAGUGUAUUAAUACUUUCUAAAGUAUAAAUACACCAAUCAGGCAUAACAUUAGCAUUCUAUAUAUAUGUAUUAGCCCCACAUGAAACUACAGCAUGUAUUUUGACUUUACUUUCAGAACUUCUUUAGUAAUUUGAGCUUUAGUCGCUCUCUAUUACUGGCCAACCUCAUAUGAAUCACUUAUUGUUGGUUCACUACUGUUCUUUACUUCCUUGGUCUACUUUUACUGACCACUGCAAACUUGCACUUAAUCCCAUUAUCCCCACUU
ensembl:lncRNA